rnacentral:rRNA from 1 species
GACGAACGCUGGCGGCGUGCUUAACACAUGCAAGUCGAACGGUGAAGCGCCUUCCUUUUUGGUGGGUGUGGAUGAGCGGCGAACGGGUGAGUAACACGUGAGUAACCUGCCCCCUUCUUCUGGAUAACCGCAUGAAAGUGUGGCUAAUACGGGAUAUUCUGGGUCUGUCGCAUGAUGGGUCUGGGAAAGAUAUUGUUUCGGUGGGGGAUGGGCUCGCGGCCUAUCAGCUUGUUGGUGGGGUGAUGGCCUACCAAGGCGGUGACGGUUAGCCGGCCUGAGAGGGUGGACGGUCACACUGGGACUGAGACACGGCCCAGACUCCUACGGGAGGCAGCAGUGGGGAAUAUUGCACAAUGGGCGCAAGCCUGAUGCAGCGACGCCGCGUGAGGGAUGGAGGCCUUCGGGUUGUGAACCUCUUUCGCCAGUGAAGCAGGCCUGCCUCGUUUGUGGGUGGGUUGACGGUAGCUGGAUAAGAAGCGCCGGCUAACUACGUG